UUUUGCACUCACUUUGGCCAUAUGUAUAGUAAAAUUAGAAUAAUAAAGAAAAGAUUAGGAUGGACCUUGCACGAGGUGGCACAACUCUUUAAGAAUUCUUUAUUUUU